rnacentral:rRNA from 1 species
GUGUCAGCAGCCGCGGUAAGACGAACCGUACGAACGUUAUUCGGAAUUACUGGGCUUAAAGGGUGCGUAGGCGGCGCGGAAAGUAGGGUGUGAAAUCCCUCGGCUCAACCGAGGAACUGCGCUCUAAACUACCGUGCUCGAGGGAGGUAGAGGUGAGCGGAACUGAGGGUGGAGCGGUGAAAUGCGUUGAUAUCCUCAGGAACACCGGUGGCGAAAGCGGCUCACUGGACCUCUUCUGACGCUGAGGCACGAAAGCUAGGGUAGCGAACGGGAUUAGAUACCCCGGUAGUCCUAGCCGUAAACGAUGAGCACUGGAUUGGAGGGCCCUCCAUAGCCUUCCGGUCGCAGCGAAAGUGUUAAGUGCUCCGCCUGGGGAGUAUGGUCGCAAGGCUGAA